rnacentral:rRNA from 1 species
UGUGAGCUCGAUGAGUAGGGCGGGACACGUGGUAUCCUGUCUGAAUAUGGGGGGACCAUCCUCCAAGGCUAAAUACUCCUGACUGACCGAUAGUGAACCAGUACCGUGAGGGAAAGGCGAAAAGAACCCCGGCGAGGGGAGUGAAAAAGAACCUGAAACCGUGUACGUACAAGCAGUGGGAGCACGCUUAGGCGUGUGACUGCGUACCUUUUGUAUAAUGGGUCAGCGACUUAUAUUCUGUAGCAAGGUUAACCGAAUAGGGGAGCCGAAGGGAAACCGAGUCUUAACUGGGCGUUAAGUUGCAGGGUAUAGACCCGAAACCCGGUGAUCUAGCCAUGGGCAGGUUGAAGGUUGGGUAACACUAACUGGAGGACCGAACCGACUAAUGUUGAAAAAUUAGCGGAUGACUUGUGGCUGGGGGUGAAAGGCCAAUCAAACCGGGAGAUAGCUGGUUCUCCCCGAAAGCUAUUUAGGUAGCGCCUCGUGAAUUCAUCUCCGGGGGUAGAGCACUGUUUCGGCAAGGGGGUCAUCCCGACUUACCAACCCGAUGCAAACUGCGAAUACCGGAGAAUGUUAUCACGGGAGACACACGGCGGGUGCUAACGUCCGUCGUGAAGAGGGAAACAACCCAGACCGCCAGCUAAGGUCCCAAAGUCAUGGUUAAGUGGGAAACGAUGUGGGAAGGCCCAGACAGCCAGGAUGUUGGCUUAGAAGCAGCCAUCAUUUAAAGAAAGCGUAAUAGCUCACUGGUCGAGUCGGCCUGCGCGGAAGAUGUAACGGGGCUAAACCAUGCACCGAAGCUGCGGCAGCGACGCUGAUGCGUUGUUGGGUAGGGGAGCGUUCUGUAAGCCUGCGAAGGUGUGCUGUGAGGCAUGCUGGAGGUAUCAGAAGUGCGAAUGCUGACAUAAGUAACGAUAAAGCGGGUGAAAAGCCCGCUCGCCGGAAGACCAAGGGUUCCUGUCCAACGUUAAUCGGGGCAGGGUGAGUCGACCCCUAAGGCGAGGCCGAAAGGCGUAGUCGAUGGGAAACAGGUUAAUAUUCCUGUACUUGGUGUUACUGCGAAGGGGGGACGGAGAAGGCUAUGUUGGCCGGGCGACGGUUGUCCCGGUUUAAGCGUGUAGGCUGGUUUUCCAGGCAAAUCCGGAAAA